AAAAAUUUAUUAUAAUAUAAAUUAAUUUUUUAUUAAAAAUUUUUUAAAUUUUUA
rnacentral:tRNA from 1 species